ACAUUCCAUAGUAAAAGUGUAUCUUCUGUUUAUAGUUAAUAAAAAGGCAAACAUACAACUCAAGGUCAUCACUACAGUUACUAUGAAAGGUGUGCUCCAAAAAUUAACAGACAAAUUCGUAAAAUUAUGUAUUUAUCCGAACUUAACCAUAGAUAAUAAGCUAUUGCAAUUAAAAGUACCAGUAACUCGAACACACCCCGCGCCCGCACACAAGGCGUUGAAUCUUAAAAUUUAUCGUAUCGUACGAACAAAACCAUUUUAAGCGAAAUACAACCAAAAAUAAAUUCAAAUGGCAAAUAUACAACCCAAAGCAAUUCCUACAAUUACCAUGAAGGUGUUCUCGGAAAAUUUAAGACAUACAAAUUUGUAAAACUAUAUAGAUUUGUCCGAACUUCAACAUAAAACCUCGGUUAAAACAAUCCAAAACCCGGGUGCUAAAAGUACCAAUAACUCGAACAACCCGGCCGUAAAUUAAAACGAUGAAUAUGAACUUGUGUCGUACAUACAAAACACCCAAACAUACCCAUGUAAUUAUUCCCACGCUUACAAAUUGAAAAACUGUUCAAAUUAAAUACCUUCCUAUUAAACAACCAGAGGGACAAAGUGUUAAUAUUAUCUUUGGCAAAUAUGCACUUCUGAUAUACCAGCCUCAAGUAAAACAAAAUUAAUAAGACGAACAACCCUCCACGGGUGAAAAUUUUAACCCUCUUAUAAAAAAGUAAAGAUAAAAUUAAAACAAAGAGACCUUCCUCAGGUUGAAUGGACCAAAUGAACACAAUCUCUUCCGAUUAAACUAACUAAAACAUAAACACCCUCCUCGGGUUUAAAUAAGAACCAAAAAUAAAGAAAGAAACCCUCCUCGGGAUUAAUUCAAAAC
rnacentral:lncRNA from 1 species